GCCGCCUUAGCUCAGUGGUAGAGCAACGGUUUUGUAAACCGUCGGUCGUCGGUUCAAGUCCGACAGGCGGCUCCA
rnacentral:tRNA from 1 species